UACGUAGGGUCCGAGCGUUGUCCGGAAUUACUGGGCGUAAAGAGCUCGUAGGUGGUUUGUCGCGUUGUUCGUGAAAACUCACAGCUCAACCGUGGGUCUGCGGUGGAUACGGGCAGACUAGAGGCAGGUAGGGGAGAAUGGAAUUCCCGGUGUAGCGGUGAAAUGCGCAGAUAUCGGGAGGAACCCCGGUGGCGAAGGCGGUUCUCUGGGCCUGUACUGACGCUGAGGAGCGAAAGCGUGGGGAGCGAACAGG
rnacentral:rRNA from 1 species